AGAGUUUGAUCAUGGCUCAGAUUGAACGCUGGCGGCAGGCCUAACACAUGCAAGUCGAGCGGUAGCACAGAGAGCUUGCUCUCGGGUGACGAGCGGCGGACGGGUGAGUAAUGUCUGGGAAACUGCCUGAUGGAGGGGGAUAACUACUGGAAACGGUAGCUAAUACCGCAUAAUGUCGCAAGACCAAAGUGGGGGACCUUCGGGCCUCAUGCCAUCAGAUGUGCCCAGAUGGGAUUAGCUGGUAGGUGGGGUAACGGCUCACCUAGGCGACGAUCCCUAGCUGGUCUGAGAGGAUGACCAGCCACACUGGAACUGAGACACGGUCCAGACUCCUACGGGAGGCAGCAGUGGGGAAUAUUGCACAAUGGGCGCAAGCCUGAUGCAGCCAUGCCGCGUGUGUGAAGAAGGCCUUCGGGUUGUAAAGCACUUUCAGCGGGGAGGAAGGCGAUGAGGUUAAUAACCUCAUCGAUUGACGUUACCCGCAGAAGAAGCACCGGCUAACUCCGUGCCAGCAGCCGCGGUAAUACGGAGGGUGCAAGCGUUAAUCGGAAUUACUGGGCGUAAAGCGCACGCAGGCGGUCUGUCAAGUCGGAUGUGAAAUCCCCGGGCUCAACCUGGGAACUGCAUUCGAAACUGGCAGGCUAGAGUCUUGUAGAGGGGGGUAGAAUUCCAGGUGUAGCGGUGAAAUGCGUAGAGAUCUGGAGGAAUACCGGUGGCGAAGGCGGCCCCCUGGACAAAGACUGACGCUCAGGUGCGAAAGCGUGGGGAGCAAACAGGAUUAGAUACCCUGGUAGUCCACGCUGUAAACGAUGUCGAUUUGGAGGUUGUGCCCUUGAGGCGUGGCUUCCGGAGCUAACGCGUUAAAUCGACCGCCUGGGGAGUACGGCCGCAAGGUUAAAACUCAAAUGAAUUGACGGGGGCCCGCACAAGCGGUGGAGCAUGUGGUUUAAUUCGAUGCAACGCGAAGAACCUUACCUGGUCUUGACAUCCACAGAACUUUCCAGAGAUGGAUUGGUGCCUUCGGGAACUGUGAGACAGGUGCUGCAUGGCUGUCGUCAGCUCGUGUUGUGAAAUGUUGGGUUAAGUCCCGCAACGAGCGCAACCCUUAUCCUUUGUUGCCAGCGGU
rnacentral:rRNA from 1 species